GGAGAAUGGAAAUAGAACUUGCAGUUUUGGUUCUCUGCAAUGCAGGUUGGCCACUGCUAUUGCUGUAACUCUGUCCUAUUGUCCUACCCAUACUACUGUUGUAACUUCCAUAAGGUGGGACCUGAUGAAUCACGCACACUUCCAGAGUGUUUGGUCAGGGUGACCCUGGGUGCAGCAAGGAUGGCCAAUGCUGUUGGCAUCAAAAGGCCAAGAGAUGACUUUGGUCAGAUUAGAUAAAGACCAUUUAGGGCCAUGGAGAUAUGGAAGCAAUUUUCUUCUUUCCUAGAAGAUGAUGCAAUAGAUGACAAUAAGCAUUUGGGUGAAUCUCUCCAGCCAGGUUUGAAGGCAGUUUGUGUCACGUAGUGGGUGGGUGGAUGGGGAAAGUUAGUUCUAAUUACUAUUCCAGGGCCCUACAUCCAGAACCUUUCCAUUUUAAGACAAGAGGGGGACUAACAUUCCCAGCUCAUUCGCAAAUGACUCAAGAGAAUGGGACAGAGGAAAGGGAGAUACCAUUUUUAAUUCCCCCUGGAGGAGUCCUAAUGUCCCAUUAGUGUUUCAACUGUUUGGUCUAAUUCAGGUAUGAAGUACAGUGGUUUGUUUGUUUGUUUGUUUGUUUUUCUAAAAAGAGUAGAGUGCUCUCUCUAGCAUUCAGACACUAGCAGAGCACGGCACAGAU
rnacentral:lncRNA from 1 species